GUCUCGGGAGGAAUAGGAGGCGGAUACGGCGCUGGUCUCGGAGGAAUAGGAGGCGGAUACGGCGGUCGUCUAGGAGGAUACGGAGGCGGAUACGGCAGUGGUCUCGGAGGAAUAGGAGGCGGAUACGGCGGUCGUCUAGGAGGAUACGGAGGCGGAUACGGCAGUGGUCUAGGAGGAAUCGGAGGCGGAUACGGCGGUCGUCUAGGAGGAUACGGAGGCGGAUACGGCAGUGGUCUAGGAGGAAACGGAGGCGGAUACGGUGGUGGUAUCCACAAUAUCCACUAAUCGAUCUUUCGUUAAUCAACGCUCACUGAAACAAGGUUCUUGGCAUGAAACUAUUACAGACCUAAACUUAAUAAAACUUAACUGGUGUAAUUAAAAGUUAAUCGUCCUCAUUGAGGCUUAAAGUGUGUUUUGUUGUUAAAGAUUUGAACAAACUUGUUAAUGCGACUCAAUAAAUUGAUGUAAAUAAAUCGUUGGUUCUGAAAAA
rnacentral:lncRNA from 1 species